UUUGUCUCUUGCUCACUUGACUAAGAUCAAGUGUAGUAUCUGUUCUUACCAGACUAAUAUCUGAUACUUCCCCAGUUGAGAGGAAAAUUUCUUUUGGUCAGGUGCU
rnacentral:snRNA from 1 species